GAGGAAGUUCGGUCACGCCGCCAGCCUGCAGAGGAACGCUAUAUAGGACCGAACUGGCUGCCGAGAGUCAGUUAUCCAGCCUGCUGCAACAACAAUGGAGUGGCGCGUCCUUAUAGUCCUGGUGGUGAUGGCCCUCAUGGCUGCCUACGUAGGUGCUGAAGCUAUACGUCCCGGCCAAAACGGUCACGGUAUCCGUCAGUUUGGUCCAGGUGGAGGCUUCAACGGCGGUGGUAUCCGUCACUUCGGUUAUGGCAAGUAGUGGCGGGCGGCCUGCUGGUGACGACGUGAAGCCUCUGGUGAAUAGCGACACUCUGGAUCACGCUAAGACCUUCCCACAACUUAACUUAGUCAUCUUAUAUGAUUCCCAUUUCACUUGACGAUAUUCUCUCUCUCUUUUCUCCUUUCGUUAUCAUAAAUUCAAUACCUUAAUUAAAUCUGUCUCAGAGAAUUUUUAUGAUUUGUCUUAAUAAACACAAAAUGUAAAACAAA